GCCUGCCAAGGUCCUUCUCGUCUCGCCCACCUUUGCCCCUGAGAGCAAGCUGGAGGCUCCUCAAAGCAUGUGGCCUGAAUCCGGCAUAGCAUCUUGUUUGCUGGCUAGUCAUUAGAAGGUUGUGGGAAACAACCUGAUGAAAAGUUGAUGCAAGACACUUUGAAGAGCAUGAGAAAUCCUAGCUCAUGUAUGGUAGAUCCUUCAGUGGAGGUGACCAAGAAUAACCACGACGAUGGAAAGGGCAUGAUGUUUUGGCUCCAGUGCUGCUGCUGAUUGGCUUUGGCUACACACCUUGGCAAAAACAAGGACGAAACCCUCCCAUGCUAUGUCAUAAGGAAGCCGAAAGGACCGAGUAUGAAUAAGAGGCUCUUUCCUUGGCUUUCUGCUCUGUCAGCUACCUCGACACCGUGGGCGCCGUGACCAUAACUGCAACUGCAUCAAGUGCUAUUUCAGAUGAUCUUGGUUCAAAUUAUCAGUGGCUAUACCUAUUUUAGAGCGGCCUAGCCUUGCCGUCCAUCUCUUUGAAGCGGGGUUUGCUGGUCAAGCACAUGCGGUGCAUGGACGCAGAAUUGGCCGGGCGGGUACUUCUGGCGUCACGAGAAGCCCUGUCAAGAAUUUGUUUGAUCCGUUGUCAUGUAACCUGUCCACCCAUGGUGCUGAUCUGCUAUUGUAGGAUACCGAAUUGGUCUGUGCGUUCUGAAAUAGGAUUUUUGUCUUGAUGUCGUUUUGUUUGGUUCCAUGCCCAAUAUGUUAUCUGCAUAGAUUCUCAGGCUUGACACACCUGACGAUUUUGUACAAGUUAAGCCUUGAUAAAUUAUUGCCUAGCUUGCUUGUUAUAUGAUGUUGCUGCUAUGCAAAAAAAAAAAA